rnacentral:tRNA from 1 species
GGGGUUGUAGCUUAGUGGUAGAGCACUUGCCUUGCAUGCAUGAGGCACUGGGUUCAAUCCUCAGCACCACA